GAUCAUGGCUCAGGAUGAACGCUAGCUACAGGCUUAACACAUUCAAGUCGAGGGGCAGCAUGGUCUUAGCUUGCUAAGGCCGAUGGCGACCGGCGCACGGGUGAGUAACACGUAUCCAACCUGCCGUCUACUCUUGGACAGCCUUCUGAAAGGAAGAUUAAUACAAGAUGGCAUCAUGAGUUCACAUUUUCACAUGAUUAAAGGUAUUCCGGUAGACGAUGGGGAUGCG
rnacentral:rRNA from 1 species